UAAUACAUGCAAGUAGAACGCAGAGGUCAGGUGCUUGCACUGGACUGAUGAGUUGCGAACGGGUGAGUAACGCGUAGGUAACCUACCUGAUAGCGGGGGAUAACUAUUGGAAACGAUAGCUAAUACCGCAUAAAAGUGGUUAACCCAUGUUAACUAUUUAAAAGGAGCAAAAGCUCCACUAUGAGAUGGACCUGCGUUGUAUUAGCUAGUUGGUAGGGUAAAGGCCUACCAAGGCGACGAUACAUAGCCGACCUGAGAGGGUGAACGGCCACACUGGGACUGAGACACGGCCCAGACUCCUACGGGAGGCAGCAGUAGGGAAUCUUCGGCAAUGGGGGGAACCCUGACCGAGCAACGCCGCGUGAGUGAAGAAGGUUUUCGGAUCGUAAAGCUCUGUUGUUAGAGAAGAACAGUGAUGGGAGUGGAAAGUCCAUCAUUUGACGGUAACUAACCAGAAAGGGACGGCUAACUACGUGCCAGCAGCCGCGGUAAUACGUAGGUCCCGAGCGUUGUCCGGAUUUAUUGGGCGUAAAGCGAGCGCAGGCGGUUUAAUAAGUCUGAAGUUAAAGGCAGUGGCUUAACCAUUGUAUGCUUUGGAAACUGUUAAACUUGAGUGCAGAAGGGGAGAGUGGAAUUCCAUGUGUAGCGGUGAAAUGCGUAGAUAUAUGGAGGAACACCGGUGGCGAAAGCGGCUCUCUGGUCUGUAACUGACGCUGAGGCUCGAAAGCGUGGGGAGCAAACAGGAUUAGAUACCCUGGUAGUCCACGCCGUAAACGCUGAGUGCUAGGUGUUAGGCCCUUUCCGGGGCUUAGUGCCGUA
rnacentral:rRNA from 1 species